CCGCCAUUAGCUCAACGUGGCAGAGCAUUGCUUAGUGACAGAAAAGUAAGGGUUGGGGUUCGAGACCUUGAUGGUGGACCA
rnacentral:tRNA from 1 species